rnacentral:rRNA from 1 species
AGCAGCCGCGGUAAUUCCAGCUCCAAUAGCGUAUAUUAAAGUUGUUGCAGUUAAAAAGCUCGUAGUUGAAUUUCGAGAUCAAUUUGUUGGUCGUGCCUCGGUACGUACUGACAAUUUUGAUUUCUCCCUUCUGAAGAACCAUGAUGUCAUUAAUUUGGUGUCAUGGGGAAUCAGGACCGUUACUUUGAAAAAUUAGAGUGUUUAAAGCAGGCUCGCGCUUGAAUACAUUAGCAUGGAAUAAUGAAAUAGGACGUUUGAUUCUAUUUUGUUGGUUUCUAGGAUCGACGUAAUGAUUAAUAGGGAUAGUUGGGGGCAUUAGUAUUCAAUUGUCAGAGGUGAAAUUCUUGGAUUUAUUGAAGACUAACUACUGCGAAAGCAUUUGCCAAGGAUGUUUUCAUUAAUCAAGAACGAAAGUUAGGGGAUCGAAGACGAUCAGAUACCGUCGUAGUCUUAACCAUAGACUAUGCCGACUAGGGAUCGGAUGAUGUUAA